CCUACGGGAGGCAGCAGUGGGGAAUAUUGCACAAUGGGGGAAACCCUGAUGCAGCAACGCCGCGUGAGUGAUGACGGCCUUCGGGUUGUAAAGCUCUGUCUUUGGGGACGAUAAUGACGGUACCCAAGGAGGAAGCCACGGCUAACUACGUGCCAGCAGCCGCGGUAAUACGUAGGUGGCAAGCGUUGUCCGGAUUUACUGGGCGUAAAGGGAGCGUAGGCGGAUUUUUAAGUGGGAUGUGAAAUACCCGGGCUCAACCUGGGUGCUGCAUUCCAAACUGGAAAUCUAGAGUGCAGGAGGGGAAAGUGGAAUUCCUAGUGUAGCGGUGAAAUGCGUAGAGAUUAGGAAGAACACCAGUGGCGAAGGCGACUUUCUGGACUGUAACUGACGCUGAGGCUCGAAAGCGUGGGGAGCAAACAGGAUU
rnacentral:rRNA from 1 species